AGUGAACGCUGGCGGUAGGCCUAACACAUGCAAGUCGAACGGCAGCACAGUAAGAGCUUGCUCUUACGGGUGGCGAGUGGCGGACGGGUGAGGAAUACAUCGGAAUCUACUUUUUCGUGGGGGAUAACGUAGGGAAACUUACGCUAAUACCGCAUACGACCUACGGGUGAAAGCAGGGGAUCUUCGGACCUUGCGCGAUUGAAUGAGCCGAUGUCGGAUUAGCUAGUUGGCGGGGUAAAGGCCCACCAAGGCGACGAUCCGUAGCUGGUCUGAGAGGAUGACCGCCCCCACGGAAACUGGGACACGGCCCAGCUCCCUACGGGGGGCAGCGGGGGGAAUAUUGGAACAAGGGGGACAGGCCGAUCCCACCCAUCCGGCGGGGGUGAAGAAGGCCUCCGGUUGGUAAGGCCUUUUUGUGGGGAAAAAAAGCCGGAAGGUUAAUCCCCCCUGGUUCGGCGGUAACCCAAAAAAUAGCCCCGGCUAACCUUCUU
rnacentral:rRNA from 1 species